GAUGCUCAAACCGCCCUAAUUAAAAAAUUAAACACGGCCGCUGCUGCUACCGCCUCCUCCUCCACCUCUUCGCCCGCCCCUUUCCAUCGCUAUUCAGCCGCGCUCUUCUCCAGCCCCGCUUUUCGCGGAUUAAACCCAGGAGCGUGGAAACUUCCUGCAAAACACUACGUGCGGUGCAUCGGAAUCUGACACUCGUGUUCUAUUCUGAAGACUUCUGACUUUAUGUAUUGAAGAUCCACUUUUCUGGAAUUGAAACUGGAAAAGAAACUGACAGCCAGCAAUAGGCAAUGAGUCUCCUUCUUCAUCUACCAGUUGUCAGUAGACAAGUAGCACUGUCUUUCUGUUCAAGAUGGUAUAUUUUAAAAUGGAAAAGGGAUGGAAUAACAAUAUUUUUCUGCAUUUUGUUUCUUUUUCACUUGAAAUUCACAAAUUUUUCCUUUGCAUGGGAAAAGUGAUUUUUUGGUAAGGUAAUGAGGAGCAGUGUAUGUGACUCAUCCUGGAUAUAUGGACCAAGGGACCAUUUGCUACUCUUUGCUUUCAAUUUCUUUAUCAGGAUCCAUCUUUUGUGUUCAACUAACAGUUACUGUCACUUUCAUCUGACUUCAAUCAUAUUUGCUGUUGAUUUGAUCCUUAUUUAGGGAGUGCUGUUUUUCCUCAAAGGAGAGCCCUUGAUCACAAAUAGAUUUUAUAAUCAUCUGGUAAUUUGUUAUGUUGAGUUGGCAAAUUCAACUGGCCUAAUUUAAGGUUGGGCAAGACACUUAAAGCCACGUGGGUGCCAGGUGAAUGAAAGGCAAUGUAGAAGUCUUAGAACUAUUAGCUGGUCAAUACUUUUAAUGUUUAAAGAUCACUUGAGUGGUGUAGGUGUCAAGAAAAUGUAACUGUUUUGAGGGAUAGCUAACUCCCUUGUAACUUGCUUUUCAGCUUAGCUUUAAACAGCUCUUUGCAUGUUCAUUGGCAAACAAACUCUCUCUUUAGUUGCUAGAAAUUUUAAAUGGGCUGAAGUGGCAGAGUCAGUGAAAAAUAUUGUGCACAGAAGAAACAGAUCAAGUUGAAACUCCCCUCCUAAGCAAAUUUAAGCAAGUUUUUUGAGAAUAUGCAUAAUCAGAAAGCAAUAGUAUAUAGGGAAGAUAAAAGCAGUAAUAGAGGUGCACAGCAAAAGCGGGUGGAUUAUAUAUUAAUUGAUGUAUUGACCACAGUUGCAACUUGGAAUUAUUUUAUGCAAUUUAAUUCAAGGUAUUUAUCAUUUUUAAAAGAAUAAACAUUUCUAUUCUA